ACAAGGUGGUUUCCCUUCUGGCUGCAGUGGACCCUGCUUGCAUCUGCCACCAGCCUGGUUCCUGAUCUGGGCUCGAUUCUUGCCUCUCCUCCUGCCUUGUGCCUCACCUCCAAUCCUCUGUGACCAGUCCUGGCUCUGACCCUGACUCCGGCUUGACCCUUGGCUCUGGCAUUUGGUAUCUGACCUCGGUGCUGACCCUUGGCUUUGAUUCCUGAUUCUGACUCUGGCUCGACCCCUGGCUCUAGUAACUGGCUGUUGACUCUGGUGCUGACCCUUAGCCUUCAUUCCCCAACCUGGACACCUGCUCUGCCCACUAGGCCAGACCUCCUAUGUCCCACUCCAUAACACUUAGGCCCUCACUAAGUCAAGCCACUCUAGGAGUUGUUUUUCAGUGUGGUGUAGGAGGACUUGUCGGUUCUAACUGAGCUCUGGUGCAGAAGGGUUCUUAGCCUGCCAACACGGCAAACUCCAGUCUGUCUGACUCUGCAUGCACCUCACUCUCGUCCCUUCUGGACGGGGCCAAGGCAGGGAUCCAGGCCCUGGCACCAUUGCGGUGUAAUGCACCGAACACUGGAUUAGCACGAUUCAGUGCUGCAAAAUGUGUGCGUGAAGGGGCCUUCAUGGCUUGAGGAGCAGCAAUGGCUCGUGUAGCAGGAGCCCCGCCAACCCCUCAGGGCUGCCCUUGGGAAAGCUACUCCAGAGCCAGCAAGGGACGGACGAAUGCUAACAG